UUAUCUCCACAGUGAAAGAGGCAUGCAAAAACCAAGCACAAUACCAGAAAGAUGAAAUAAGUGCUAAAUGGAGUACAGGAACAGUGGUCAUUGAUUCUGUCUGGGAACAGUGAUAUAGGAUUCAAUGAGUAGUUGCCUUUUAAUGUAAGUGUGACUUGAAUGCAUGUAAGUGUUCCAAUGCUAAGAAUACAACAGCUCAGUGAAUUUUCCAAGCAACGACUAUUCAUUUAGUUACCACCCAGAUCAAGAUAGAGAAUGUUACACAACUGUCAGGGACCCUCCCCGCCAAUUUCUUCCAUGAAU